GAGUGCAGGGUGUAUGCUUCUUCCUUCUACCUCCUCAAAGGUUGAAUAUUGAGGUUGUGAAUGUGGUUGCGAAUGGCAUUGGGAGCUUCUUUUUUGAUAUGACUGAGUGAAAGCCAACUCAAUAUUUUUACUUGUGUAAGCAGAAGAACCGUCAUGUGGCUUCAUAUCUUUGGAAUAGCAUGUUAGGUGAUACUCAUAACUUCACCUCCCCCAGGACACAGGAUUCUGAUAGACUUGUCACUAAGGCAUGGGGACACCAUGCUCUGAAGAAAGUGACCUUAUAAGCGAAAUGCUCAUUUACAACUGGUCCCAUGUGGCUGCAGAUUAGGAUGACCAUUCACUGACCCCUUAAUUUAAUUACAGGCUCAUUUCGACUGAAAAGGUAAUUUAAUGUUUUGAUGUUAGUGAGCAAUUUUACAUUCAGCACAUGGUGC